GUCCACGCCGUAAACGAUGUGUGCUGGGUGUCGGGGGUAUUCACCCCCUCGGUACCGAAGCUAACGCGAUAAGCACACCGCCUGGGGAGUACGGCCGCAAGGUUGAAACUCAAAGGAAUUGACGGGGGCCCGCACAAGCGGUGGAGUAUGUGGUUUAAUUCGACGCAACGCGAAGAACCUUACCCAGCCUUGACAUGCUCGGAACCCGAUGGAAACAUCGGGGUGCCAUCGCAAGAUGGAGCCGGGACACAGGUGCUGCAUGGCUGUCGU
rnacentral:rRNA from 1 species